UACGACGGAUGGUCGCUGGUGCGUCGUUUGCGGCGCGCUAGAGGAAAGUCCGGACUCGGCUGUCUCGCGUCAGCGGGGCAGAAAGUUGGUGCCCGGCGCAAGCCGGGGCGGAGCAAUCCGACGGAGGCGAAACGAGACCCUCUGGGCUCGAAGUAGCCGUAAAGGGCCAUAGAGACGAGCUUGUCCGGCAACGGACAAGGUGGAACGCGGUAACCCCCUCCACCGAGCAACCCAAAUUAUGGUAGGGGCAGCCCCGAUGGGGGCCGGUAGCCUUGCCUACUGAGAGAGAUGACCAUCCUCGACAGAAUCCGGCUUACAGUC
rnacentral:RNase_P_RNA from 1 species